GAUGAACGCUAGCGGCGUGCUUAAGGCAUGCAAGUCGAACGAGAAAGUCGUCUUCGGAUGGCGAGUACAGUGGCGCACGGGUGAGUACAACUUAGGUAAUGUACCCUUUCGCUGGGGACAACUUCGGGAAACCGAAGCUAAUACCGAAUACUCCUAAAUUUACCUCGGUUUAUUUAGGGAAAGCUUUCGGGCGCGAAAGGAGCAGCCUGAGUCCCAUUAGCUUGUUGGUAGGGUAACGGCCUACCAAGGCGACGAUGGGUAGCUGGUUUGAGAGAAUGAUCAGCCACACUGGUACUGGAACACGGACCAGACUCCUACGGGAGGCAGCAGCUAGGAAUAUUGCGCAAUGGGGGAAACCCUGACGCAGCAACGUCGCGUGAAUGAGGAAGGCUUUCGGGUCGUAAAGUUCUUUUCUAAGGGAAGAAAAAAAUGACGUUACCUUAGGAAUAAGCACCGGCUAACUCCG
rnacentral:rRNA from 1 species